rnacentral:rRNA from 1 species
AACGUAGGAGGCAAGCGUUAUCCGGAGUAACUGGGCGUAAAGGGCGAGUAGGUGGUUUUGUAAGUUGGUUAUGAAAGCUCCUGGCUAAACUGGGAGAGGCUGACCAAGACUGCAAGACUUGAGUGGAGAAGAGGUCAACGGAAUUCCGCGUGUAGUGGUGAAAUGCGUAGAGAUGCGGAAGAACACCAGUGGCGAAGGCGGUUGACUGGUCUCCAACUGACACUGAACCGCGAAAGCAUGGGUAGCGAACGGG